UACGGGGGGGGCAAGCGUUGUUCGGAAUUACUGGGCGUAAAGGGCUCGUAGGUGGCCAACUAAGUCAGACGUGAAAUCCCUCGGCUUAACCGGGGAACUGCGUCUGAUACUGGAUGGCUAGAGAUUGGGAGAGGGAUGCGGAAUUCCAGGUGUAGCGGUGAAAUGCGUAGAUAUCGAGAGGAACACCUGCGGCGAAGGCGGGUUGCUGGGCUGACACUGACGCUGAGGCGCGAAAGCCAGGGGAGCGAACGGG
rnacentral:rRNA from 1 species